AUUGAACGCUGGCGGCAGGCCUAACACAUGCAAGUCGAGCGGAUGAGUGGAGCUUGCUCCAUGAUUCAGCGGCGGACGGGUGAGUAAUGCCUAGGAAUCUGCCUGGUAGUGGGGGACAACGUUUCGAAAGGAACGCUAAUACCGCAUACGUCCUACGGGAGAAAGCAGGGGACCUUCGGGCCUUGCGCUAUCAGAUGAGCCUAGGUCGGAUUAGCUAGUAGGUGAGGGAAAGGCUCACCUAGGCGACGAUCCGUAACUGGUCUGAGAGGAUGAUCAGUCAGACGGGAACUGAGACAGGGUCCAGACUCCUACGGGAGGCAGCAGUGGGGAAUAUUGGACAAUGGGCGAAAGCCUGAUCCAGCCAUGCCGCGUGUGUGAAGAAGGUCUUCGGAUUGUAAAGCACUUUAAGUUGGGAGGAAGGGCAGUAAGUUAAUACCUUGCUGUUUUGACGUUACCAACAGAAUAAGCACCGGCUAACUUCGUGCCAGCCGCCGCCGUAA
rnacentral:rRNA from 1 species